rnacentral:rRNA from 1 species
ACGUAGGGGGCAAGCGUUGUCCGGAUUUAUUGGGCGUAAAGAGCUCGUAGGUGGCUGAGUAAGUCGGGUGUCAAAUCUUCAGGCUCAACCUGGAGCUCCACCCGAUACUGCUCUGGCUAGAGUCCGGUAGGGGAGCGUGGAAUUCCUGGUGUAGCGGUGAAAUGCGCAGAUAUCAGGAGGAACACCAGCGGCGAAGGCGGCGCUCUGGGCCGGUACUGACACUGAGGAGCGAAAGCGUGGGUAGCAAACAGGAUUAGAUACCCUGGUAGUCCACGCCGUAAACGUUGGGCACUAGGUGUGGGGUCUAUUCAACGGACUCCGUGCCGUCGCUAACGCAUUAAGUGCCCCGCCUGGGGAGUACGGCCGCAAGGCUA